rnacentral:rRNA from 1 species
UGUGAACGUUACCAAACUGUUGCCUCGGCGGGAUCUCUGCCCCGGGUGCGUCGCAGCCCCGGACCAAGGCGCCCGCCGGAGGACCAACCUAAAACUCUUUUGUAUACCCCCUCGCGGGUUUUUUAUAUCUGAGCCAUCUCGGCGCCUCUCGUAGGCGUUUCGAAAAUGAAUCAAAACUUUCAACAACGGAUCUCUUGGUUCUGGCAUCGAUGAAGAACGCAGCGAAAUGCGAUAAGUAAUGUGAAUUGCAGAAUUCAGUGAAUCAUCGAAUCUUUGAACGCACAUUGCGCCCGCCAGUAUUCUGGCGGGCAUGCCUGUCCGAGCGUCAUUUCAACCCUCGAACCCCUCCGGGGGGUCGGCGUUGGGGAUCGGCCCUUUACGGGGCCGGCCCCGAAAUACAGUGGCGGUCUCGCCGCAGCCUCUCCUGCGCAGUAGUUUGCACACUCGCAUCGGGAGCGCGGCGCGUCCAUUGCCGUAAAACACCCAACUUUCUGAAA